rnacentral:lncRNA from 1 species
GACCUAGAUGAUUCUGAUCCCUUCUUCUCCAAAGGGCCAGAAAUAAUCAGCAGCACAGGGUGUGAGAUCUACUGGAAAGAUGGUAAAGACCUCACCCUGAAAACCCUGAAGCUGCAGAAAUGUGAGGGCCCUGAAGGUGUCGCACCAACCUCUAGGAAGGUGCCCAGCUAUUCUUUCUUCACCUACUUCUCUCCUCCCUGGGGGUAGAGUACUGGAUGUGGCUACUGAGUAUAAAUUGGGUUAUUUUUUUCCGUGAAGUUCCGGUCCCAAAGUCUGUAUUAUACUUCACAAAAGAAGCGAGUGAUUAUCAAUAUGAAGAGUCUGAUGAGGAGGUCCAAGAAGCUGAAGGUGAGGAGGAGGACAGCGAUAAAAAACCAGAAGGACCUGGAAAGGACCUGGACCCAGCAGAGGACAGCCCGGGAGAACCCAGCCUGUGGCCAACCCUGCUCCCCGGGCAGGGCUGUGGAGACCUCCAAGGAAGCCAGAAGAGCCAUGGCCUCCUAGACUCCUUCCAUCCCCUCCCAAGCGGAUGCCUGGAACCCAAGGAGACUGGGAGCCUGCAGUGAGGUCUGCGGGGAAGAUGGCGGCCGCCGGGCUGAGUGUUGCACCGAGGAGACGCUGUUGGCAGUGGGACAUUAGGGUGGGAGUGGGGCAGCAGAGACGAUGGCGGCACGGGGAACAGGAGUUUGCGAAGGUGCUGGUUUGGGCCCCCCCCCCACGCCCCGCCCCCCACGACAGGAAAGGCAAGGGGGCGGCCCGCAGACCAGCCCACUAAGACUGAGGCUGAGCUGGCGGCGGAUAGGUGCCAAACACCCUGAUGGGCUGGCGAUGGUAAGUGGAACUGGAAGGGUCAACUGGGGACCACUUCCUCCAGCGCCAGCUCUAAGUUCAUCUGCCAGGAGGCAAGGAUUGGCGUGACCGCUGACCAAUGAGUGAUAAAGGCUUUCAGACUGCAUGGAAGCCUUCCAGCCCCAGGUCUUACUUUGAGCCCACAGGAGUCCCUUCCUUUACAUUGCACCCUUGCAAAAACAAAACGGCAAUGUCCCUAUAGGGCGGCACCCUGGGGUAUGGGAACCUGGAUGUGGUGCCCGGUUGCCACCCUGUGACAGCUCAGGCCAUCCGAGAUAUGCUCAUUUUUUUUGAAGUUAAUAGAGGCUCGCUAAAGCCUUGAGAAAGUACAUCAAAAGAAAGAGAUGGAGAAAUUGGAAAACACGAACUGAAUUAAACAGGAGCACUGAAUAUGAAAUAGAAAAAGUGAAACAAACUAGAUAAAAGUUAAAGAUCAUCAUAUAGUCCUGUUGCUUUUAAGCAUGGCUGCUCAUUAGAAACAUGUCUGUAGGUUUGGAGAAUAAAAGCAAUACCAUGGCACUUUUCA